GCCAGUGAAAUAAUGGAAGAGUAUGUACAGUGAUUGAUAUAUAUACAGAGAGUGAACACACAGCUAACAAGUCCAAAAUGGAAACAAAGCUCAAAGUCAGGGGAAAACAGGCACAAGUCAAAACCAGUACAGAAAACUCAAUAAUCACAAGUACUAUCUCCUACAAUAUUGCAAACAAACCACUUCUACCACCCUCCAACUUUCUACCCUUCAUCUUCUUUAAGCACCAGUAAUGAUGUAAUCAAGGUAAACCUGAGAUCAGGGCAGGCUAGGCAGGCCAGAAACUAUGUAUGGGAAUCAGGCCUGCACACAACCCUUCACAAAGAACACACAAGAAAACAGUCACCACGGGUUGUAACGUAGUGUAUUUCCUCUUAGACUUGCCAUUUCUAUGAAACAAGGAAAAGGGAAAAGAUUAACUGAGAAAUCAUAAGUAAAAAUUCUGUAAAUGUACUGUUAUCUAUGUGCUAUAAGCAAUGCCAAAGUUUAACAGUGUGAUAUUGAUCAGAAUGGACAGAAUAAACAUAUUAACCUUAAUGUUGUUCCCUUCAAUCGCCUGAAACAAGGCUUCAGGUUCAGGGCAAAAUAUGGCUACAGGAACAAACAAUAUUUAAUAAAGUGUUGGAAUUUAUACACAGAAUGAGGCUUCAGAUUCAGAGCAAAAUAUGGAUGAAAGAACAUUCAAGGUGAUUUUUAAUUGUGCAUACAUUGUGAUUUCAUCAGUAAUGUGAUGGUUAAGUACACAUUUAUCAUGAUUUAGGAGGUAGCAGCUAGGUGGCUAGAUAUAUUAAUAUAAAAAAAUAUAUUUGUUGGAGCUAAAAAUUAAUUAAAAAUGAAUGGCAUUAUCACAACAAGAACUAGAUCCAAAGACAAGAGAAUCCACCUCCAAUAUUUAAUGGAACUUUACAGUCAAGUA